CAUCAUGGUUUAACUAGUAAAACCAAGCAAAAUGAGAUUUAAGUUUGACUUCCCGAAACUAAGUGAGCUACUUCAAAACAGCCUUACGGGCCAACCCAUCCCUGUUGCAAAAGAGUGGGAAGAUUUUUAAGUAGAGGUGACACACCUACCGAGCCUAGAGAUAGCUGGUUAUUCAAGAAAAGGAUCUAGUCCAAUUUUAAACCUUCUUAUAGUACUAAAUACACCACCAGCUUUAAAAUUUAUUCAAAUAAGGUACAGCCUAUUUGAAACAGGAUACAACCUAUCCAGCAGGGUAAUGAUACACCUACAUGUCCAAGUUGGCCUAAAAGCAGCCACCUUUAAAAAAAGCGUUAUAGCUUAAUCACACAAUAUUAUCAAUUUCUACUAAAACCCAAAACCCUCCUCCCCUACUGAAUGAAUCUAUACCAAUAUAGAAGACCUUAUGUUAAAACUAGUAAUAAGAAAUCUUUUCUCCCUAAAGCACGUGUAAGCCAGAAUGAAACACUCACCGGCACUUACCGCCAAGAAUCUACAGUAUUAACCUUGCAAGAAAAAUCUACUCUCUCAAAUCGUUAACCUCACGCCAGAGCUUUACCGGAAGAUUUAAAAAGAGGGAAGGAACUCGGC
rnacentral:rRNA from 1 species